rnacentral:rRNA from 1 species
ACGGGAGGCAGCAGUGGGGAAUAUUGGGCAAUGGGCGAAAGCCUGACCCAGCAACGCCGCGUGAAGGAAGAAGGUCCUCGGAUUGUAAACUUCUUUUAUCAGGGACGAAGAAAGUGACGGUACCUGAUGAAUAAGCCACGGCUAACUACGUGCCAGCAGCCGCGGUAAUACGUAGGUGGCGAGCGUUAUCCGGAUUUACUGGGUGUAAAGGGCGCGUAGGCGGGGAUGCAAGUCAGAUGUGAAAUCCAUGGGCUUAACUCAUGAACUGCAUUUGAAACUGUAUCUCUUGAGUGCUGGAGAGGUAGAUGGAAUUCCUUGUGUAGCGGUGAAAUGCGUAGAUAUAAGGAAGAACACCAGUGGCGAAGGCGAUCUACUGGACAGUAACUGACGCUGAGGCGCGAAAGUGUGGGGAGCAAACAGGAUUAGAUACCCUGGUA